CCUCAAGAUCCCCUUUCUGUCUUGUUGUUGACAUCUCCAGUAGGCCCACCUUCUCCUUGAGAGAAACAAUCUCAGCUUCUGCAUCAUGUAAUGAAUCAUUACUUCCUUCAAGCUGUUUCAUGAUUGACUCCAGUGAUUCAGAAGCAGACCUCUCCAAAUGACGGGCUUCCUUAGACUGUGCCUCCAAUUCCUCGACUUUCUUCUGACACUCCUCCACUAGAUUAUGUGCAUAAGAUUCAGCCAUCCUAGAAGCCUCCAGAUCGACAUUAAGUUGCUCCAGGAGAGCUUCUUUCUCCACCAAUUUCUCUUCAUAACUUUUUGCCUCCUCGAGUUCUUCUGUCAGUGCCUCUACCUCAAGUUUCAGGUCUUCCAACAACUUAUUCUUCUGACUAUCUUCUUUUCUCAAUGCCUCAAUCUGAAGUUUCAGAUUUUCCAACAAUUUAUUCUUCUCACCAUCAUCUUUUCUCAAUACCUCAUUUGCAAGUUUCAGAUUUUCUAACAUCAUAUUCAUCUCGACAUCUCCUUUUCUCAGUGCCUCUUUCUCAUGUUCCAGAUUUUCCAACAACUUAUUUUUCUCAUCAUCUUCUUUUCUCAGAGCCUCCGUCUCAAGUUUCAGAUUUUCCAACAACUUAUUUUUCUCAUCAUCUUCUUUUCUCAGAGCCUCCGUCUCAAGUUU
rnacentral:misc_RNA from 1 species